rnacentral:rRNA from 1 species
UCUGGUGAUAAUAGCAUUGUGGUCCCACCUGAUCCCAUCCCGAACUCAGAAGUGAAACGCAAGCGCGCCGAUGGUAGUGUGGGGUCUCCCCAUGUGAGAGUAGGUCAUCGCCAAAC